AUCUGCGUCAUCAUCAUUUGCUUCCUUCCCUAUCACCUCUUCAGGGCCUACUACAUACAGCACAUGGGUGAUUUUGACCAGUUAGAAAGCUACAAUGAAGUUUUUCUGAGCCUGACUGCCCUCAGCUGCCUGGACCUGCUCUUCUUCGUGCUGAGUGGAAGCCGCCUCUUCAAGCAAAAGGUGGUCAUGCUCCUCAGCAGGUUGUCUUGCUGCUAGCAUCUACUUCCUGCAGGGAGCCCAGUGCUGGACAGGCAUGGCAAACCCCUCCUGACCAUGUCAGGUUGGGCCCUAGAAACAGAGCAACACACUCAUGAAGGGCUCUAUGCACUUGCCUCCUGAAAUCAUGGAGCGAACCGCCUCCAGUGUCUUAGCUGGUAGACUGAAAGGUUACCUCUGGGAUGUCCUCAUGGUGCUACCCGGUGAGUUGUAGAUGCACCUGGAGGAGAUGGAGGAAAGGGCAUGGGCGCUUCUGUCUUAAUGCUUUUACACCAAGGUUUGCAAAGUCAAAGUCACUAGAAGGAGACUCAAGAGAAUUUGCAAAGUAUGUAGAAACACAAAUGGAAAAGCAGGUUCUUAUGGAAUAAGGGGCAGAUUUUUGAAACAUAAAGGUCUAUAUAAUUUUCCAUAUAUAUUUUUCUUAUUUAUUCUCCUCAAGCUCUCAUAAAAUACCAGGGAAGCUAUUGUUCCUCCUGAGAAGGUCUGUUCCUUCACUGUACAGACAAGCAUAACUUUCUAAGUAAAUUGAACAAUUAAACCUACUCGUUAAAAUAAAAUAAACCAGCAAUAAAUAGUGAUUUCUUAAAAUAUUUUCUCAAAAUCACCUUUUGGAGAUGGCAUCACUGUAGCAGAAAAGAGUUUUGUUCUUUUUUCCACACUAUGAAAAUGUCUCUAACAACAAAAAUUACGCAGUUAUGGAAAUGAAUAUUGUGAGUUCUGACAAAAGCCUGUAUUUUUAUUUACAGAAUUGUUCAAUUAAAAAAAAUGUAUUUAAUAGUGAAAA
rnacentral:lncRNA from 1 species